rnacentral:lncRNA from 1 species
CGGCGGUGCUUUCCGGAGAGGAAGGAGAGCUCAAAACAGAGGACUCGUGACGGGGUUUCGGACAGCUCGGCCGGGAGGGAACGCCGGACCAAGGAGAGGAGGAGGAGGGAAGGAGGGAAGAGGAGGAGGAGGAGACGGAGGAGAGGGAGGGCUUGGAGAUAGUCUCAGGAGGAGGAGGGAAGGAGGGAAGAGGAGGAGGAGGAGACGGAGGAGAGGGAGGGCUCGGAGAUAGUCUUAGGAGGAGGAGGAAAGGGUCUUUAUAGCCCUAUGGUAAUGGCUCUCCGCCGCGUGAAUCACGGCGGCCAAGCGAGAUCAGCGGC